rnacentral:lncRNA from 1 species
CGGCGGGUCUCGCGCGCCCGGCCCGCCUCCUGUCAACCCCAGCGCGGCGGUCAGGUGGUCCCCAGCCCUGGGCCUGAGCCUCCAGCUUCCUGGUCCCUCGGGCUCUGGGUCGUGUCUCCGGCAGAUCGCCUUACCGAUUGUUCUCCUUCGCGGCUGGAGGUGUAGCCCCUAGUCGAGCUAUGGUGCCUCCGCAGAUGUGAGGAGGUAGUGGGUCAGGAUAAACCCGCUCACUCCAUAAUAACGCGCUGGGGCUCAGUGACGGAUUUGGGUCCGCAUUUAUUGAGCAUCUAGUGUCUAGAGACUGGGCUAGUAGAGAGGAAAGUAGCAGGCAGAGAAGAGGCAAGGCCUGCUCCGCAGGAGUUUUUGCCUCCCUUAGCCAAUGUGAGCCUUACCGCGAGAUGCCCACAACCUCUGUCGCUAGAGAUGGUUACCAUCCUAGGAUGGCUUGAUGCCAAAGGCCCAGGGACAGUCUUUCAUGAAAGCCUCUAGCAAAUACUUGUUCCCUUAAAUUUUUCUCUAUAUGAUGAAUCGAUGGCCUCCCUUGGUUCUUGAAUUCUUGUAUCCCCAGAACAUAAUCCGGUAAAAAUGAAUUCUUCAUAGAUCGAAAACAGAGAUCUCAGGUGCCCAAUAUUCUAUAGACCUUGCUUCCUGCAGAGGUUGCUGGGGACAGUUGCCUAGAUCUACUGUGAACCAGAUUCAGAAAAAAAUUUCACUGCCAUUUGUACAAGACUGCAUUUGAUGGACCGAAGUGCCAACCUGAGAUCAGGAUUACAGAGAUCCAGAGUACGGAGAGCAGGAAUACUGACAUCCAUAAUACGGAGAUCUAGAGUACAGAGAUCCAGAGUACAGAGAGCAGGAAGACGGAGAUCCAGAAUACAGAGUGAAGGAGGGCAGAGUUCCAGAAUACAGAGUGCAAGAGGAUGGAGAUCUAGAAUACAGAGUGCAGGAGGACAGAGUUCCAGAAUACAGAGUGCAGCAGGACGGAGAUCUAGAAUACAGAGUGCAGGAGGACAGAGUUCCAGAAUACAGAGUGCAACAGGACGGAGAUCCAGAAUACAGAGUGCAGGAGGACAGAGUUCCAGAAUACAGAGUGCAACAGGACGGAGAUCCAGAAUACAGAGUGCAGGAGGACGGAGAUUCAGAAUACAGAGUGCAGGAGGACAGAGUUCCAGAAUACAGAGUGCAGGAGGACAGAGUUCCAGAAUACAGAGUGCAGGAGGACAGAGUUCCAGAAUACAGAGAAUGGAAACACCGAGAUCCAGAGUACAGAGAGCAGAAGUACAGAGAACCAGAGUACAGAGAUCUGGAGUAGGGAGAUCUAGAGUACAGAGAGCAGGAGUACUGAGAUCCAGAAUACAGAGAACGAGAGUGAUGAAAUCCGGAGUACCGAGAGUGGGAGUCCUGAGAGCAGGAGUACAGAGAGUGGGAGUCCUGAGAGCAGAACUACAGCGAGUGGGAGUACAGAGAUCCGGAGUACAGAGAUCCGGAGUACAGAGAGCAGGAGCACCGAGGUCUGGAGUACAGAGAGCAGGAGCACCGAGGUCCGGAGUACAGAGAACAGGAGCACCGAGGUCUGGAGUACAGAGAGCAGGAGCACCGAGGUCCGGAGUACAGAGAGCAGGAGCACCGAGGUCCGGAGUACAGAGAGCAGGAGCAUCGAGGUCCGGAGUACAGAGAGCAGGAGCACCGAGGUCCGGAGUACAGAGAGCAGGAGCACCGAGGUCUGGAGUACAGAGAGUAGGAGCAUCGAGGUCCAGACAACGGAGAACAGGAGUACGGAGAUGGGGAGUACGGAGAUGGGGAGUACGAAGAUGGAGAGUACGGAGAUCAGGAGUACUAAGAUCGAGAGUAUGAAGAUCCUGAGUACAGAUGCUCAGAGUACAGAGAUCAGGAGUACAAAGGGCAGGAUUAUUGCAAUCCAGUAUAUGAGAGAUUGGGCGUACAGAGCUUGGGAGUCCCCGUUGUUUAAGUAAGGGAAGACGUUGAUAAACUUCACUCCCAAUGAGUCUGAAUAAAUAAUAAAUGAAGGUCAUUUUCAAAGCAAAGGGCACAGAACAAAGAGACAGGACUACCAGUGUUUAUUCAGCUAACGCAGGGAGAUUUAAUUCACACCCCAGGCUUCAAUUUCCUCAACUAAACUGGGUUUUAGGUAUGUUCUGUUUUCCAUACCUGUGUUGCUAAAUCCGAGUCGAGCAGACAGAGAAACGGCAGAGAAUCAUAGAGGAUGUGUAGCAGGGAGAGCCACAGUGAGUGGCUUGGAAGGCAAAGCAUGAAUGUUACAAAUCUAUUUACCUAGGCACUGGGUACAUCUGUUCCACUGUCAACCGGUGCCUUUAAAUCAAGUCUGACUCCUUUAUACAUUGAUAGCAUUUGCUUUAGAAAUAAAACGCCUUGCUGAGCA